UGCCAGCAGCCGCGGUAAUACGGAGGGUGCAAGCGUUAUCCGGAUUUACUGGGUUUAAAGGGUGUGUAGGCGGGUCUUUAAGUCAGUGGUGAAAUCUCCGAGCUUAACUUGGAAACUGCCAUUGAUACUAUUGAUCUUGAAUUCUGUUGAGGUGGGCGGAAUAAGUCAUGUAGCGGUGAAAUGCAUAGAUAUGACUUAGAACACCAAUUGCGAAGGCAGCUCGCUAAACAGAGAUUGACGCUGAGGCACGAAAGCGUGGGGAUCAAACAGGAUUAGAUACCCUGGUAGUCCACGCCCUAAACGAUGAUUACUCGACAUACGCGAUACACAGUGUGUGUCUGAGCGAAAGCAUUAAGUAAUCCACCUGGGAAGUACGACCGCAAGGUUGAAACUCAAAGGAAUUGACGGGGGCCCGCACAAGU
rnacentral:rRNA from 1 species